GAAGAUAGGGCGUAGUGGUACGCAACCAGAUUUGAACCCUGGCCCAUCGGGGCGAUCCCCCGGUGAUGGUUCGACUCCAUUAUCUUCC
rnacentral:tRNA from 1 species